CUGCAGCCAGUUAAACUGAUGAAAUCCUAUACUUGUGGGGGCCCCAUGUGCAACUACAACUUCCUGGGUAGUAUAUGCAGCCUGCUACUUGAAUGGGUUGCCCUAAGGGACCUUAGAGACAGCC
rnacentral:snoRNA from 1 species